UUCGAGUUGCACGCUCUAGACCCGAAGCGGAGUGAUCUAGCCAUGGGCAGGUUGAAGCGGCUGUAAGAGGUCGUGGAGGACCGAACCCACCAGGGUUGAAAACCUGGGGGAUGACCUGUGGUUAGGGGUGAAAGGCCAAUCAAACUCCGUGAUAGCUGGUUCUCCCCGAAAUGCAUUUAGGUGCAGCGUCGUGUGUUUCUUGCCGGAGGUAGAGCACUGGAUAGGCGAUGGGCCCUACCGGGUUACUGACCUUAGCCAAACUCCGAAUGCCGGUAAGUGAGAGCGCGGCAGUGAGACUGUGGGGGAUAAGCUCCAUGGUCGAGAGGGAAACAGCCCAGAGCAUCGACUAAGGCCCCUAAGCGUACGCUAAGUGGGAAAGGAUGUGGAGUCGCAGAGACAACCAGGAGGUUGGCUUAGAAGCAGCCACCCUUGAAAGAGUGCGUAAUAGCUCACUGGUCUAGUGAUUCCGCGCCGACAAUGUAGCGGGGCUCAAGCGUACCGCCGAAGUCGUGUCAUUGCAGCAUGAGGGCCAACGCCCGCUGUGAUGGGUAGGGGAGCGUCGUGUGCCGGGUGAAGCAGCCGUGGAAGCGAGUUGUGGACGGUUCACGAGUGAGAAUGCAGGCAUGAGUAGCGAUUCACACGUGAGAAACGUGUGCGCCGAUUGACUAAGGGUUCCUGGGUCAAGCUGAUCUGCCCAGGGUAAGUCGGGACCUAAGGCGAGGCCGACAGGCGUAGUCGAUGGAUAACCGGUUGAUAUUCCGGUACCCGCUGUGAAGCGUCAAACAUUGAAUCCAGUGAUGCUAAGCCCGUGAAGCCGUUCCGGACCCUUCGGGGAAUGGAAAGUGGUGGAGCCGGUGGCCCGAGCUGGUAGUAGGUGAGUGAUGGGGUGACGCAGGAAGGUAGUCCAUCCCGGGCGGUGGUUGUCCCGGGGUAAGGGUGUAGGACGUCAGGUAGGUAAAUCCGCCUGGCUAUAGUCUGAGACCUGAUGCCGAGCCGAUUGUGGUGAAGUGGAUGAUCCUAUGCUGUCGAGAAAAGCCUCUAGCGAGUUUCAUGGCGGCCCGUACCCUAAACCGACUCAGGUGGUCAGGUAGAGAAUACCGAGGCGUUCGGGUGAACUAUGGUUAAGGAACUCGGCAAAAUGCCCCCGUAACUUCGGGAGAAGGGGGGCCAUGUCUGGUGAUGAGUCUUGCACUCUGAGCUGGGUGUGGCCGCAGAGACCAGCGAGAAGCGACUGUUUACUAAAAACACAGGUCCGUGCGAAGCCGUAAGGCGAUGUAUACGGACUGACGCCUGCCCGGUGCUGGAACGUUAAGGGGACCGGUUAGUCACAUUUCGGUGUGGCGAAGCUGAGAACUUAAGCGCCAGUAAACGGCGGUGGUAACUAUAACCAUCCUAAGGUAGCGAAAUUCCUUGUCGGGUAAGUUCCGACCUGCACGAAUGGCGUAACGACUUCUCGACUGUCUCAACCAUAGGCCCGGUGAAAUUGCAUUACGAGUAAAGAUGCUCGUUUCGCGCAGCAGGACGGAAAGACCCCGGGACCUUUACUACAGUUUGAUAUUGGUGUUCGGUUCGGCUUGUGUAGGAUAGGUGGGAGACUGUGAAGCAUGCACGCCAGUGUGUGUGGAGUCGUCGUUGAAAUACCACUCUGGUCGUGCUGGAUGUCUAACCUGGGUCCGUGAUCCGGAUCAGGGACAGUGUCUGAUGGGUAGUUUAACUGGGGCGGUUGCCUCCUAAAGAGUAACGGAGGCGCCCAAAGGUUCCCUCAGCCUGGUUGGUAAUCAGGUGUUGAGUGUAAGUGCACAAGGGAGCUUGACUGUGAGACCGACGGGUCGAGCAGGGACGAAAGUCGGGACUAGUGAUCCGGCGGUGGCUUGUGGAAGCGCCGUCGCUCAACGGAUAAAAGGUACCCCGGGGAUAACAGGCUGAUCUUCCCCAAGAGUCCAUAUCGACGGGAUGGUUUGGCACCUCGAUGUCGGCUCGUCGCAUCCUGGGGCUGGAGUCGGUCCCAAGGGUUGGGCUGUUCGCCCAUUAAAGCGGUACGCGAGCUGGGUUUAGAACGUCGUGAGACAGUUCGGUCCCUAUCCGCUGUGCGCGUAGGAAUAUUGAGAAGGGCUGUCCCUAGUACGAGAGGACCGGGACGGACGAACCUCUGGUGUGCCAGUUGUUCUGCCAAGGGCAUGGCUGGUUGGCUACGUUCGGGAGGGAUAACCGCUGAAAGCAUCUAAGCGGGAAGCCUGCUUCGAGAUGAGUAUUCCCACCUCCUUGAGAGGGUAAGGCUCCCAGUAGACGACUGGGUUGAUAGGCCGGAUAUGGAAGCCCUGUAAGGGGUGGAGUUGACCGGUACUAAUAGGCCGAGGGCUUGUCCUCAGUUG
rnacentral:rRNA from 1 species